rnacentral:sRNA from 1 species
GCUGGGCACGGUGGCACAUGGCUGUAAUCCCAGCUGCUUGAGAAGCUGAGGCAAGAGGAUCACAAGUUCAAAGCCAGUCUCAGCCACAGAGUGAGGGCCUGAGCAACUUAGUGAGACCUUGUCUCAA